rnacentral:rRNA from 1 species
GAGUUUGAUUCUGGCUCAGAACGAACGCUGGCGGCAGGCCUAACACAUGCAAGUCGAGCGCUCUGCAAGGAGAGCGGCGGACGGGUGAGUAACGCGUGGGAACGUGCCCUCUUGCCUGGGAUAACUGCGGGAAACUGCAGCUAAAACCGGAUGAGCCCUACGGGGGAAGGAGAGGAUCGGCCCGCGUUGGAUUAGGUAGUUGGUGGGGUAAUGGCCUACCAAGCCGACGAUCCAUACCUGGUUUGAGAGGAUGAUCAGGCACACUGGGACUGAGACACGGCCCAGACUCCUACGGGAGGCAGCAGUGGGGAAUCAUAGACAAUGGGGGAAACCCUGAUCUUGCCAUGCCGCGUGGACGAUGAAGGCCUUAGGGUUGUAAAGUCCUUUCACCGGUGAAGAUAAUGACGGUAGCCGGAGGAGAAGCCCCGGCUAACUCCGUGCCAGCAGCCGCGGUAAUACGGAGGGGGCUAGCGUUGUUCGGAAUUACUGGGCGUAAAGCGCGCGUAGGC